AUGAAAGUAUAUAAAAAAACUGUGGAACGCGCGCGCGAGAAAGUAGCGCCGGGAACGAGCGCGUUACGUGACAGUACGUAUCGGUCACGUGUAUAUUUAUUUAUUUCAUGCACAUGCAAAAACUGAUUUACGAUUCGAUCGCAUGCGUAAUUGAAAAUUCAAACGCAUGAGGGAAAAAAUACGAUAUUCACGUAACUGCGUUACGUGUCUGCAGAUCGCAGAUUGUAUUUCUUCGAAUUCGAAAUCUGAAGGUCCUUGCGAAGAUAUAUAUAUGACAGAGGUGAUAAGCAAACUUCAAGAGCGUCUCGAAUUGAAAUUGAUAGAAUAGAAAAAUUGAGUUUCAAAUGAGUUCCAAAAAUCUCUGAAACUAGAAAUUGGAGGGCCGAGAAGAACUUUUAGCGGAAGAGAUUCCUCUCUAAAGGUCUCCCAGAGAAAUAUCUUUCGAGCAACUGCCAAGGAAGUUCUUUUUAAGAAUAGCUACGAGGGAUGUGAAAUCCGGCGAUUGUUGCCAAGGUAGGUUCCCAUCCGAAAAAGGCUCGAUGGUUUCUCGAGUGGCCAACGAGUGGGACGCGAAUCGGGGGAAAAUGGGGGAAAAUAGGGGAAAGAAAUGAAAGAGAUGAGCAGAGAGAAAGAGUGAAAGAGAGAGCGAGAAAGCGAGGGGAGACGAUAACGGCGGCGGGGAUGGAGAGUUCGCAUUAAAAUUCAAAUAUCACAGCCGGGGAAGAGCCUUCACUUUGAGGUCCGUAGAGCGCAGUGAGCCAAUAUGAAUACAUUACAACGUGUUUGCAUCCAGCCCCGGGCCGGUAAUGCCUUCUAUUAGAAUCAUGCCGCCGCAUUUUAAUAUGACGUGGGAGAGGGAGAGGCAAGCAAGUUGUUCGAAAACGGAGAUAUCCGUAUAAC